CUCAAAUCCCUACUCUCUUCUUUCACUCUCUUCCUGAUCCUCACCUGGUCCCACUGAUGGUUCUGGUUUGACAGCACCAGGAAUCCUCCAUCAUCAAUGAGGACACAGAGCUGGGUGAUGCCUACGUGUUGAGAUCCUGGUCCCUCCACACACGCUCUACCAGCUGCUGCGUGAUGCCCGUGUCCAAGAUCAGGUUGUGCAGAAGGAAGUUGUUGCCUGGAACAGGAGGGGAGGGCUGGGGGUGGGGGCAUCUUCUUGCAGCUCCUUGCCCACCCUCGCCCCCACCCUCAAGGCUCCACCAGGAGCCUCCUCCAUGACCUGGCCCAGGCCCAGCCCUCAGCUUGUGCCUGCUUAUUUCCACACCUGCCCGGCCUCUGGGUUCCUCUGGGCUGCCCCAUGCUGCCUGGGCACUGCCCAGAGCCAGCUGCCCUGCCAGGCACUCACACUGCUUGGAGUCUGGAGUCACUUUCUCCAUGAGCUCAAUAAAGUUUUUCAGGAACUCGG
rnacentral:antisense_RNA from 1 species